AACGUAGGAGACAAACGUUAUCCGGAGUUACUGGGCGUAAAGGGCGUGCAGGCGGUCUGUUAAGUCUGGCGUGAAAGCUCUCGGCUAAACCGGGAGAGGUCGUUGGAUACUGACGGACUAGAGGACGGUAGAGGCGUGUGGAAUUCCGGGUGUAGUGGUGAAAUGCGUAGAGAUCUGGAGGAACACCGGUGGCGAAGGCGGCAUCCUGGACCGGUAUUGACGCUGAGGCGCGAAAGCCAGGGGAGCAAACGGG
rnacentral:rRNA from 1 species